GAUGAACGCUGGCGGUAUGCCUUACACAUGCAAGUCGAACGGGAAUUAGCUUCGGUUAAUUCUAGUGGCGGACGGGUGAGUAACACGUGAGAAUUCGCCUUUAGGAGGGGGAUAACGAGUGGAAACAUUCGCUAAAACCCCAUAUGCCCCAGGGUGAAAAAGAGGUUAAUAGUAAAACUGAAUAACCUCUGCCUGAAGAGAAGCUCGCGGCUGAUUAGCUAGUUGGUAGGGUAAUGGCCUACCAAGGCGACGAUCAGUAGCUGGUCUGAGAGGACGAUCAGCCACACUGGAACUGAGACACGGUCCAGACUCCUACGGGAGGCAGCAGUGAGGAAUUUUCUGCAAUGGGCGAAAGCCUGACAGAGCAAUACCGCGUGAGGGAUGAAGACUUACUGAGUUGUAAACCACGGUGCCUUAAGGAAGAAGAUCUGACGGUACUUAAGGUGGAAAGCAUCGGCUAACUCCGUGCCAGCCGCCGCGGUAAUAC
rnacentral:rRNA from 1 species